rfam:Macrostomum lignano uti_cns_0000596, whole genome shotgun sequence.
CAAACGGCCCUUUUCAGGGUCACCCUAAAGUAACUUAGCAGUCGUGG